AGUGAACGCUGGCGGUAGGCCUAACACAUGCAAGUCGAACGGCAGCACAGUAAGAGCUUGCUCUUACGGGUGGCGAGUGGCGGACGGGUGAGGAAUACAUCGGAAUCUACUUUUUCGUGGGGGAUAACGUAGGGAAACUUACGCUAAUACAGCAUACGACCUACGGGUGAAAGCAGUGGAUCUUCGGACCUUGCGCGAUUGAAUGAGCCGAUGUCGGAUUAGCUAGUUGGCGGGGUAAAGGCACACCAAGGCGACGAUCCGUAGCUGGUCUGAGAGGAUGAUCAGCCACACUGGAACUGAGACACGGUCCAGACUCCUACGGGAGGCAGCAGUGGGGAAUAUUGGACAAUGGGCGCAAGCCUGAUCCAGCCAUACCGCGUGAGUGAAGAAGGCCUUCGGGUUGUAAAGCCCUUUUGUUGGGAAAGAAAAGCAGCAGGUUAAUACCCCGCUGUUCUGACGGUACCCAAAGAAUAAGCACCGGCUAACUUCGUG
rnacentral:rRNA from 1 species